GACGAACGCUGGCGGCGUGCUUAACACAUGCAAGUCGAACGAAAAGAGGGAAAGAGCUUGCUCUUUCCGGAAUUGAGUGGCAAACGGGUGAGUAACACGUAAACAACCUGCCUUCAGGAUGGGGACAACAGACGGAAACGACUGCUAAUACCGAAUAAGUUCCAAGAGCCGCAUGGCCCAUGGAAGAAAAGGUGGCCUCUACCUGUAAGCUAUCGCCUGAGGAGGGGUUUGCGUCUGAUUAGCUGGUUGGAGGGGUAACGGCCCACCAAGGCGACGAUCAGUAGCCGGUCUGAGAGGAUGAACGGCCACACUGGAACUGAGACACGGUCCAGACUCCUACGGGAGGCAGCAGUGGGGAAUCUUCCGCAAUGGGCGAAAGCCUGACGGAGCAACGCCGCGUGAGUGAUGACGGCCUUCGGGUUGUAAAACUCUGUGAUCCGGGACGAAAAGGCAGAGUGCGAAGAACAAACUGCAUUGACGGUACCGGAAAAGCAAGCCACGGCUAACUACGUG
rnacentral:rRNA from 1 species